rnacentral:misc_RNA from 1 species
UACGUAGGGGGCAAGCGUUGUCCGGAAUUAUUGGGCGUAAAGCGCGCGCAGGCGGUUCAUUAAGUUGGAUGUCAAAGGCAUGGGCUCAACCGAUGUACGCAUCCAAAACUGGUGAACUUGAGUGCAGGAGAGGGGAGUGGAAUUCCCGGUGUAGCGGUGGAAUGCGUAGAGAUCGGGAAGAACACCCGUGGCGAAGGCGACUCUCUGGCCUGUAACUGACGCUGAGGCGCGAAAGCGUGGGGAGCGAACAGG